UUUUUCUUUUGAGCUAUUCAAGCUUACAACAAAUUGGGACACAAUUGGAGAUACUGGUUACUUUACAAAGCAUUUAACUGGAAUGGCAUAUUUUCCAUAAUGACCAGACUGCUUUGAGGAAUUAAGGUUGACUUAUAAAGCUCAAAAAAAGCUUCUUGGAAAGGCUGGUCUGGUAUGUUGUCUGCAAGGUUCCUUUACAAGUUCCCUGACCUUUGGUAACUAAGGAAUGUCACUUUCUGACAGUCCCAGGAACCUCAAAUUAUUUGAGCACUUUGAGGAAAGAGGAACUCACCCAAUUCAUACAGAUAUUGCAAUAGUCUGAUGGCAAAUCCUUGGCAUGGCUUCUAGCCUUGAGGCUUUUAAAAGUCUAAUCUGAGAUUCCUUAUGAAAAAGUUCCAGCAAAGUCAGUCUUAAAAGAGUUUAUAUGCAGCCUGAAUGACAUAGUAAGAAUCCCAUCUCUAAAAGAAGAAGAAAAAUAAAUAAAAAUAAAAAAGCCUAUAUAGCCAAUCACAAUUCUUGCUGCACUUUAUGCAAAUAACCAGGCCAAGUAUAAUAAGACUAAAACUUAUCUUGAAAAUACAUUUGUCCUACUGUAAUUUGUCUUUGGUAGAAAUAGAGGACCGUAGAAAUAAAAAUUAUGUUCCAAAAGAAAACUAGAGUAUACCUGUUAUGAGAUUCCAGCUGUGUCCAUUAUUUUUGAGUUUUUAUUAUAUGCCUACACUUUGGAUUGAAUUCUGAAUUUUUUUCUGGCCACACGUCUCCAAACUAAUAUUUCCAAAUGCUUCUUUCGUUUUCCUGACUUGGAAUCACUAGACACUAAAACUGUGCUUUUCUUAAAGCCUUGCAAACUGAAGCUAAGCAACUUAAAUGAACUUCAGGAGAAAUCCAAGCAACUUUUAUAAAUCAUCUUCUCACCUCCUGAUGUAUGGACUACUCAGAAAGUUUACUUGAACACUUAAUUCAAACUACAAUCCAGAAAAAUCUGUCAGAUUGCCAUUGCAAUUUGAAGAUGCUUCAGAGACUCUAGAAAAAUUAGUCUAUAGAGUACUCCAGAUAUUAACCUUUUUCUUCUUUUUCCAUAGAAAUGCCUCUUAUUAAAGAUCUGUUUGCCUACAUCAUAUGUAGAGGCCUAUCCUAUCUGCAAUGCCACCUCUUAGAAUGGGACACAGCCAUUUAACUAAACUGAUCUAUUCUCAGGGCUAAGAGGCUGAUUAAAGAAGAUAUGGGUUGAUAUAUUUAAAGUCGUUCUUUUGUGUUUAUCCCAAUUUGUCUCCACUCCUUUGUCUAGCAACAUCUAG
rnacentral:lncRNA from 1 species